GCGGCAGGCUUACACAUGCAAGUCGAGCGGGCGUAGCAAUACGUCAGCGGCAGACGGGUGAGUAACGCGUGGGAACGUACCUUUUGGUUCGGAACAACCCAGGGAAACUUGGGCUAAUACCGGAUAAGCCCUUACGGGGAAAGAUUUAUCGCCGAAAGAUCGGCCCGCGUCUGAUUAGCUAGUUGGUGAGGUAAUGGCUCACCAAGGCGACGAUCAGUAGCUGGUCUGAGAGGAUGAUCAGCCACAUUGGGACUGAGACACGGCCCAAACUCCUACGGGAGGCAGCAGUGGGGAAUAUUGGACAAUGGGCGCAAGCCUGAUCCAGCCAUGCCGCGUGAGUGAUGAAGGCCCUAGGGUUGUAAAGCUCUUUUGUGCGGGAAGAUAAUGACGGUACCGCAAGAAUAAGCCCCGGCUAACUUCGUGCCAGCAGCCGCGGUAAUACGAAGGGGGCUAGCGUUGCUCGGAAUCACUGGGCGUAAAGGGUGCGUAGGCGGGUCUUUAAGUCAGGGGUGAAAUCCUGGAGCUCAACUCCAGAACUGCCUUUGAUACUGAAGAUCUUGAGUCCGGGAGAGGUGAGUGGAACUGCGAGUGUAGAGGUGAAAUUCGUAGAUAUUCGCAAGAACACCAGUGGCGAAGGCGGCUCACUGGCCCGGUACUGACGCUGAGGCACGAAAGCGUGGGGAGCAAACAGGAUUAGAUACUCUGGUAGUCCACGCCGUAGACGAUGAAUGCCAGCCGUUAGUGGGUUUACUCACUAGUGGCGCAGCUAACGCUCUAAGCAUUCCGCCUGGGGAGUACGGUCGCAAGAAUAUAACUCCAAGGAAUUGACGGGGGCCCGCACAACCCGUGGAACAUGUGGUUUAAUUCAUCGCACCCCGCAGAACCUUUCCUGCCCUUGACUUCCCGGUCCGGGACUCCAAAAAAAGAAUUUUUCAUUUCGGCUGGACCGGAAAAAGGUGCUGCAAGGCUUUCCUCCCCCCCUUUCCGGAGAUGUGGGGUUAAAUCCC
rnacentral:rRNA from 1 species